CACGUAGGAGGCGAGCGUUGUCCGGAAUCAUUGGGCGUAAAGAGCGCGCAGGCGGCUUGGCAAGUCGGGUGUGAAAUCCCGGGGCUCAACCCCGUGACUGCAUCCGAUACUGUCAGGCUAGAGGUAGGUAGGGGGAGAUCGGAAUUCCUGGUGUAGCGGUGAAAUGCGCAGAUAUCAGGAGGAACACCGGUGGCGAAGGCGGAUCUCUGGGCCUUACCUGACGCUGAGGAGCGAAAAGCGUGGGGUAGCGAAACGG
rnacentral:rRNA from 1 species